UCUAAUAUGGCAGAUUAGUGCAUUGAAUUUAAGCUUCAAAUAUAAAGUAUUCUUUUAUUAGAA
rnacentral:tRNA from 1 species